rnacentral:rRNA from 1 species
UACGUAGGGUGCAGGCGUUAAUCGGAAUUACUGGGCGUAAAGCGUGCGCAGGCGGUUUUGUAAGACAGGUGUGAAAUCCCCGGGCUUAACCUGGGAACUGCAUUUGUGACUGCAAGGCUGGAGUGCGGCAGAGGGGGAUGGAAUUCCGCGUGUAGCAGUGAAAUGCGUAGAUAUGCGGAGGAACACCGAUGGCGAAGGCAAUCCCCUGGGCCUGCACUGACGCUCAUGCACGAAAGCGUGGGGAGCAAACAGG